UACAGAGGUCCCGAGCGUUGUUCGGAUUCACUGGGCGUAAAGGGUGCGUAGGUGGCUAAGAAAGUUUGAUGUGAAAGCUCAGGGCUUAACCCCGAAAUGGCAUUGAAUACUACUUAGCUGGAGGUUUGGAGGGGGGACUGGAAUUCUUGGUGUAGCAGUGAAAUGCGUAGAUAUCAAGAGGAACACCAGUGGCGAAGGCGGCAUCCUGGACCAACACUGACGCUGAGUGAGCGAAAGCCAGGGGAGCAAACGGG
rnacentral:rRNA from 1 species